rnacentral:lncRNA from 1 species
UAGAUCAUUAGUGGAAAUAUCAUGAGCACAAAGAGGGUAGAGAAAGGUGUCACACAAGUUAACUUCAGCUAUGGUGUCCUUAUGCAUGUACUCACUAGCUUCAAGUCCAUCACCACUAGUAUGCUCAACAUAGGAAACACAUAAAGAAGAAGUAGAUGGAAUUUCUAAGCAUGCACCACCUUUUAUUUCAAGAGUAUAAUCC